UCGAAAGAGCCGCACAAAAGCCCGGCUUAGAGAUGCGCUAAUGACAGGGUGGCAGGGACUGCGCCUCUAAUGCUAAACGAGCUUCGCCCAGCAGAAUUGUUUGAGCGACGGGACCUGCCUGCAGGCAGAAUGCGGGAAAGCUGCCUGUUUUCUUCUUUGUUAUUUUGUCAAACUAUCGAGUACAUCCAUGUGAGAUAUACGCACACAUGUGUGUGUAUACCAGGAAACCUUACAGACACGACUGGCUUGUACAGAAUGCAUGAUUAACUGACGGACUCUUUGUUUUGCUGACUGGGGAUGGAGAAGAUGUGCUUCUUUUUAUAACUCUCUGCAGCAAGGCAUGGUGUCUUCAAGGAAACAUGGCAUCUUGCAACAGCUGGAAGAUGAUGGAAAGUCACCUGUUGCAGCCUCACGUCCUGCUGGAAAUGCCUUCAUGGGACAGGCAUCUAUAGAUCAACCUCUGUAUAAGAUGAGGAGGGUGCUACCGGCAUAAAGCAAGGGGUGACUGAACUCCAUGAAGCCAAUUGAUGGGAAAGGAGGGAGGGCAUGAGCGAUCCAUGGUGUCCCAACUGCAAGUAGAAUUUCUAUUUCUUUCUCUCUGAAAUGGCUUAUUGCUCUCAUUCCCUCCCCGCCCCUGCUGAGAGAAAGGUGCAGGGGACCGGGAGAUCUCUGCUGCAUCUGAUUCCCCCUGGAUUGGCUGGCUUUUUGCCCACAGGGGGGCAUUUGAUUUUAGCAAGGAACCUCAGGCAGAAAGAUGGGGGGGGCGGGGUGCAGCAGGAGAAGCCGCUCGUGUGAGCAAGAAAGCAGCCAAUCCAGGGUGGGAGGGAUCAGAUGCAACAGGGACCCUCAGGGUCCCUGGACCUUUUUCCAACAAGUGCCCAUUGCAAGGGUCUUACACACACACACACACACACACACACACACACACACAUGGAUUUUGCAGCACCUGUAAAUAGAAUUUGCAAAUUUGUGCAUUUUCCCCCUUGGAUGCCUGGGUCCCGAUUCUUUCUGGUACCAAGCACCAUCCCUGUUUUCACCUGCAGUCUUUGCAUCCUGAGGAAUCCUGAUGUUCCUCAAAGUUCAGGCCAAAUUUUCAUCUGAGAUUCUCUGUGGUAAUUUAGUGGGUGCGCCAUUCUUCACCAACAAUUAUCAUAAGGCCAGGUAAUAAUAUCAUUUAACAGUCAAACCAGCUGAUAAGCAGAGACUCUGAGUCUAUGAUAUAAUGGCACAUAAUUGGAGCCACAAUUAACUGGAGUCAUACAAAUGGCUUCAAAAAAUCUGGCUCUGCAUGUUUUGGGAGGACAGUCCCGCCCGUGAAAUUGGGUAGGGAUCCAAAGCAGUAGUGUCAACACGAAGGCCUUCCUCUCCGCAUGGGGAAAGGCUGUAGCUGUGUGGCAGGGCAUGCACUCUGCAGGCAAAAGGUUCAACGCCUUGUAACUAGUACUGGGAAAGAUGUCUGCUUGAGACUUCCCAGAGCUGCUGCCAGUCUGUGUAGGCAAUAUUGAGUCUGACAGACCAAUGGUCUGAUUUGGAAUAAGGCAUUUUUCUGUGUGUUUCUCCUGAUGCUGCUGUGAAACUGAUGUGCGUUUGUGCUGCCAUGCAGCCCAUGUAAAAGAUCUCCUUUCCCCACUUUGGGACUAAAAUUGGGAGGUAAAUCAAAUCCAGAUUAAGCCCUGGUGGCUGGACUGUAGCCAUAUGGGGAAAGAGGCUGCUGGGGACCUUUCCCUCCAGGGUUACUCCGGGUUUGUUUAUCUAAUUAUAAGGGAAGAAUGUAUUGGAUUUGGAGCUGCUAAAGAGGAGAAGGAGGUAAAUCAGAGGAACAGAGAAACCUACCCAGUGAACUUGAUGGCUUAGUGGAGUUUAGACGGGCCCUCUAACUGCUAAAGGGCACGUGCUCUUCCAAAUCUCCACUCGGCCAUGUAUCUCAAUGGAGUAACCACACUCAGGGGUCAAGUAUGGAUUGUCACUGAACUUUGAGUUGUUGCUGAAAUGUGAGUUAUAGCCUGGAUUCAGGCAACAUGGCAAACUACAUUUCAACAUGCUGGAGUGUGCUUUAUUCUGCUGACUGAACCCGGUUGAGUUGAGAAACCAUGGUGAACGAGCCACACUGCACAACCCAACUGCAAAACCUGGAUUGUUAACCUUCCUGGGUUGUUCAUGGUUAACAAGCUAUGGCUUAUUAGUGCAGCUGGUUCAGACAUCAACCCCCAUUUCAAUAACAACCCACACUUAAGUCAUGCAACCCAAUAUCAUACUGUCUGAACCUAAUCUCAGACCUUGCUAGCUUACCAGCUGUAGUGAGGAUAAAGGUAUGCAAGGAAAUUGUGUAUGACACACUGUUCCUUGGAGGAUGAGAUUAAAAUGCAUUAAGACUUAUGCCUUGAUUUCCAUAUGUCUGCAAUUUGCAUUGCAUGUUUGAUUGGUAUCAGCUGAACAAAAACCAGAUGAUUAAUCAGCUAAAAACCUCAUUAGUUGGUGGUUGUGCAGUGGCCCCAUGCCCAAGGGCAACCUGGCUAUGGGUGCACAGUCUGGUGCAGCUGGGCCAAACUGGUACCAGCUGCCACCACCAAGAGUCUUCCCAGUUCCCCAGUUCUCUUGUUCCCUUGGGAUCAACAAGGUUUCAAGGUUUCUUAUGUUUAGUUGCUUUGCACCCACUUUCUGUGCUUAGGGAACCACUAUUAGGUUAUAGGCUUGGCUCAGCAUGUUGUAAACAACCUGAUUGUUGAAUUAGCAUUGGGGUACAUGACCAAAAGUGUGGGACAUCCUUUGUGAGCUUCCCUGCUUUCAUCCACAAAGAACACAGUUUGCAUUUUGGUGAAAAUAGUGUAAAAUAUCUACUAGGGAUUUAGGAAAACAGAAGGGGCAAAAUAGCGUCUAGCUUCAGAGUACAAAGCAUAAACAGUUUAAUCAGGCAUAUGUCAAACAGAAAAUCCAAGCUAGUUAGCACAGCUCUGAGCUAAGCUGUCUACCUAUUCUUUGAAGAUCCACGUGGUGAAAUUCUCCUAUACCUGUAUCAGGUUUUCCCCCUCCUUUGGGGAGACACGCAUCCUUCCCUAGAAUCAGUAUUAGAGGAAAAUGUCCAUGCAGCCUCCUCUGGCUUUUCCACUUCCUGGAGGAUCUGCUUUUAGCACGGAGAUAAAAGAAGCUUAAAUGUCUUUCUUUGGUCCCUCCUCCCUUUCCUAGGUGGAGAUUCCAGACAAAUCUCUCAAUCCCAAGGAUGUUAAAAGAGUCUUCAUUGUUGAGACAUCUGAUCAGAUCACUAUUCAACAGGUUUGCUAACUGGAGGUGCUUGACUUUGAGCUGAUUUCAGUCUGCAGCUCAAUGCCAGUAUCAAGAUGGCAAGCAAGGCCAUCAGCUUUAGCAGAGACCUGCAAACUGGUUGAAAAAGGGAGGUUUCCAUCUGGGUAAGAUGGGGUUAAUAUGGUCUAGUUGAGCAGGCCACUCCAGGCAGAACAGGAUGAGAGUUCUGCUGUCUGGUGAACUUCUCCUUCCUUGGUUGCUUUGCCUGGUUUUCCAAGCUCGACAUCUUUGGUCCCAGUCCCUCGCAUUUCUCUCGCUUCUCCAGUUUAGCAGCCCCUGAGCUGACAUACGCCUCUGCUGUUGCCUCACCUCCGUCAUCUGCUCAGAGACAUGCUGACUCUCUUGGCUCAUCCUUUUGUUUGUGUUUAGCUUUCAGCAGAGGCAGAGAAGAGGUGGGAGGGAAGAUGGAAUGAGGGCUUUCCUUGUCCAAGAUGCCAUGCAGAGAAGCACUGUUGGCACCGGUGUAAGAGAGUGUAGCUUGUAUAUGAAGCUUAGCCACAGCUGCAGUUGAGGGAGAACAGUAGGGUGGUCAGAAACCCUCCACCCAAAAGAAGAGGAAAUCCCAGAAUCAUAGAAUGGUAGAGUUGGAAGGGGCAUGAGGCCAUUGGGUCCAACCCCCUGCUGUUGCAGGACACCAAGUUAUACCAUCCCACUCAGA